rnacentral:lncRNA from 1 species
CCGGAGUGGCCACCCACAGAGCAGCUCUGGGCUGGACGCUGAGUCAUGAGGCUGUGGUGCCUGCCAGGGGGCGAGGGUGGCAGAUGGCUUUAUGUGGGCGUGAGUGAGGAGGGGGGCAGAUAGGAGGGGCAGUGACCCUGGGCCCAGCAGAGAUCCAGGGAAGUGGCCUGGGAGGUAGGUCUCCAACUCUUCCUUUCCCCCUUCUUCACUGCCAUUUUCCAGGGAUGACCCUUCCUGCUGGGGUAGCCAGCUGUGACUGGGUCGGGGUGGAAAGUGACCCCUGGGAGACCUGAGGCCUGAGGCCCUGGGCUUCCGCUUGACCUGGCUGGGUCAGCCGUGGGAGGCAGAGCCUGGCUCUGUUUAUCCAGGCCGGGCACUUCCGGAGCAGAUGGGCGCCUGUCAGAGCCUCCAGCCAGGAACUGGGCUGAUGUCCUCUCAUUGCCAAGUGGCAGCCACCACCCUCCAGAUAUUGUUGAAAAGAGGUCCAGAGCCUGAUGAUGGAUCUCCAGGCAUUUAAAGCAGAGGUUCCAAGACGUGUUAACAACAGGAGGGAGUAGGGAGUUGCAGCAGAACCUCCUCCCAUUAUCUUCUUUAGGGACAGAGUUUGAUUCUGUUCCUCAGGCUGGAGUGCAAUGGUGCGAUCACAGCUCACUGCAGCCUCAACUUCCUGGGCUCAGAGACGGGAUUUCACCAUGUUGCCCAGGCUGGUCUAGAACUCCUGGACUCAAGCAAUCUGCCCACCUCAGCCUCCCAAAGUGCUGG